UACGUAGGGGGGCUAGCGUUGUCCGGAUUUAUUGGGCGUAAAGAGCGUGUAGGCGGCCAGGUAGGUCUGCUGUGAAAACUCGAGGCUCAACCUCGAGAUGUCGGCGGAAACCAUCUGGCUAGAGUCCGGAAGAGGAGAGUGGAAUUCCUGGUGUAGCGGUGAAAUGCGCAGAUAUCAGGAAGAACACCCGUGGCGAAGGCGGCUCUCUGGGACGGUACUGACGCUGAGGUGCGAAAGCGUGGGGAGCAAACAGG
rnacentral:rRNA from 1 species